GACGAACGCUGGCGGCGUGCUUAACACAUGCAAGUCGAGCGGAAAGGCCCUGCUUUUGUGGGGCGCUCGAGUGGCGAACGGGUGAGUAACACGUGAGUAACCUGCCCUUGACUUUGGGAUAACUUCAGGAAACUGGGGCUAAUACCGGAUAGGAGCUCCUGCUGCAUGGUGGGGGUUGGAAAGUUUCGGCGGUUGGGGAUGGACUCGCGGCUUAUCAGCUUGUUGGUGGGGUAGUGGCUUACCAAGGCUUUGACGGGUAGCCGGCCUGAGAGGGUGACCGGCCACAUUGGGACUGAGAUACGGCCCAGACUCCUACGGGAGGCAGCAGUGGGGAAUAUUGCACAAUGGGCGGAAGCCUGAUGCAGCAACGCCGCGUGCGGGAUGACGGCCUUCGGGUUGUAAACCGCUUUCGCCUGUGACGAAGCGUGAGUGACGGUAAUGGGUAAAGAAGCACCGGCUAACUACGUG
rnacentral:rRNA from 1 species